CUGAAGCUGGCGGCGUGCUUUAACACAUGCAAGUCGAGCGGAGAUAUUUAAGCGGAGAGCUUCGGCAGGAAACUUGAUAAUCUUAGCGGCGGACCGGGGUGAGUAAACGUGUGGGCAACCUGCCCCUGUACUGUGGAAUAAUCACUGGAAAACGGGUGACUAAUACCGCAUGUCAUUGCGAGAGGGCGAUCCUCUUGCAAGAAAAGGAUUUAUUCGGUACAGGAUGGGCCCGCAUCUGAUUAGCUAGUUGGUGAGAUAACAGCCCACCAAGGCAACGAUCAGUAGCCGACCUGAGAGGGUGAUCGGCCACAUUGGGACUGAGACACGGCCCAAACUCCUACGGGAGGCAGCAGUGGGGAAUAUUGCACAAUGGGCGAAAGCCUGAUGCAGCAACGCCGCGUGAAGGAUGAAGGGUUUUCGGCCCGUAAACUUCUAUCAAUAGGGACGAAAAAAAUGACGGUACCUAAAUAAGAAGCCCCGGCUAACUACGUG
rnacentral:rRNA from 1 species